rnacentral:misc_RNA from 1 species
GGAUGAAGAACGUAGCGAAAUGCGAUAAGUAAUGUGAAUUGCAGAAUUCAGUGAAUCAUCGAAUCUUUGAACGCACAUUGCGCCCCUUGGUAUUCCGAGGGGCAUGCCUGUUCGAGCGUCAUUAUAACCCUCAAGCUCAGCUUGGUGUUGGGGCCUGCUGCACUGGCAGCCCUUAAAAUCAGUGGCGGCGCCAUCUGGCUCUAAGCGUAGUAAUUCUUCUCGCUAUGGAGUCCUGGUGGAUGCUUGCCAUCAACCCCCAAUUUUUCUAUGGUUGACCUCGGAUCAGGUAGGGAUACCCGCUGAACUUAAGCAUAUCAAUAAGCGGAGGA